rnacentral:rRNA from 1 species
GUCUAUGGCCAUGCUACCCUGAACAUGCCCCAUCUCGUCUGAUCUCGGGAGUUAAGCAGGGUCGGGCCUGGUUAGUUCUUGGGUGGGAGACUACCUAGGAAUACUGGGUACUGUAGGCU